rnacentral:rRNA from 1 species
UGGUUUAAUUCGAAGCAACGCGAAGAACCUUACCAGGUCUUGACAUCCCGAUGCUAUUUCUAGAGAUAGAAAGUUACUUCGGUACAUCGGUGACAGGUGGUGCAUGGUUGUCGUCAGCUCGUGUCGUGAGAUGUUGGGUUAAAGUCCCGCAACGAGCGCAACCCCUAUUGUUAGUUGCCAUCAUUCAGUUGGGCACUCUAGCGAGACUGCGGUAAUAAACCGGA